GGCAUUUGGUGGGGCCUGUGUAUCUCGCUCCCGCCAGAUCUUGGGAUGAGUCGCUGCUGUUCUGCGUUCUCCACCUCGGGAGUCCCCGGUGACUGUCACAGCCUCUUGCCCUGUGAUCUGCCGGUUCUGGGAGACGCACAGCUAAGAUGCCAGGACAUCCUGGAAGCUGGGAAAAGGUUCUGCCAACAAAGGAGAUUGUGACACAUUGCUGGGCCUAACACUACGGUGAUGUUACUUACUUGCUUUGGCUGUGCCCUUGGAAGGCAUUGAGACAUACUGCUGUGCCCAGCACCAAGAUGUAACGUGACUCUUCUGCUUCAGGCCUGCCAAAAGAAAAGAUUGUGACAGAUCACUGGACCCAGCACCUAGAGUGACUUCCAGACCAAGAUUCAGCACACAUGU
rnacentral:lncRNA from 1 species